GACGAACGCUGGCGGCGUGCUUAACACAUGCAAGUCGAACGGAAAGGCCCUGCUUUUGUGGGGUGCUCGAGUGGCGAACGGGUGAGUAACACGUGAGUAACCUGCCCUUGACUUUGGGAUAACUUCAGGAAACUGGGGCUAAUACCGGAUAGGAGCUCCUGCUGCAUGGUGGGGGUUGGAAAGUUUCGGCGGUUGGGGAUGGACUCGCGGCUUAUCAGCUUGUUGGUGGGGUAGUGGCUUACCAAGGCUUUGACGGGUAGCCGGCCUGAGAGGGUGACCGGCCACAUUGGGACUGAGGUACGGCCCAGACUGCUACGGGAGGCAGCAGUGGGGAAUAUUGCACAAUGGGCGGAAGCCUGAUGCAGCAACGCCGCGUGCGGGAUGACGGCCUUCGGGUUGUAAACCGCUUUCGCCUGUGACGAAGCGUGAGUGACGGUAAUGGGUAAAGAAGCACCGGCUAACUACGU
rnacentral:rRNA from 1 species